rnacentral:rRNA from 1 species
AUUGAACGCUGGCGGCAUGCCUUACACAUGCAAGUCGAACGGCAGCACGGGAGCAAUCCUGGUGGCGAGUGGCGAACGGGUGAGUAAUAUAUCGGAACGUGCCCAGUCGUGGGGAUAACGUAGCGAAAGCUACGCUAAUAUCGCAUACUAUCUAUGGAUGAAAGCGGGGGAUCGCAAGACCUCGCGCGAUUGGAGCGGCCGAUAUCAGAUUAGGUAGUUGGUGAGGUAAAGGCUCACCAAGCCGACGAUCUGUAGCUGGUCUGAGAGGACGACCAGCCACACUGGGACUGAGACACGGCCCAGACUCCUACGGGGG